rnacentral:rRNA from 1 species
UACGUAGGGGGCUAGCGUUGUCCGGAAUCAUUGGGCGUAAAGCGCGUGUAGGCGGUCCGGUAAGUCCGCUGUGAAAGUCGGGGGCUCAACCCUCGGAUGCCGGUGGAUACUGUCGGGCUUGAGUACGGAAGAGGCGAGUGGAAUUCCUGGUGUAGCGGUGAAAUGCGCAGAUAUCAGGAGGAACACCAAUUGCGAAGGCAGCUCGCUGGGACGUUACUGACGCUGAAACGCGAAAGCGUGGGGAGCAAACAGG